UAUGCCAGAGCUGUCCCCACCCCCAGCUCUGUUUCAUAAAAUUAGUACAAAGGGAUUAAUUUGUCUGAGUUACUAAACCCCUAGGUAUCAAAUACUUGAGAAUGCCCCUGGAAUUGUUUCAAAGGUCACCAUCACAUUCAAAUGUAUAAGAAUGGAACAAUGAUUUUACUUAGUUUAGGGCACACUGAUCCAGCUGACCACUCUGUCAAGGUCUCCCACAUUUUCAGGUGGAUUUCUCCUCAGCCACAGAUGUGCUAAUUUUGAUAAAAUGCGUAAAAACAUUUUUUUUGUUUUGUUUUUGAGGUAGGGUUUCACUAUGUAUCAUUGACUGGUCUAAAGCUCCUUAUGCAGACCUGACUGGCCUGAACUCAAGAAACCUGUUUGCCUCUGCUUAAGGAGUGCUAGGAUAAAAGGCAUUUGCCACUGUGAGUAGCUUAACACUGUCUUUAAAUUGAUUACUGAGCUCUAUAAUUUAAAGAUGUCUUGAUAGGAAAUAAUCACUUGAUACCCACCUCCAACCCAGCAAAACUGACAUGUUAUCCUAGUACCUGAAUUGCUUGAUGUUUGUAGCUUUUUAGAAUUUAAGGGUUCUGUCCACUGCUAAAGAAUUGUUUUCUGGGGUAGAAUCUUAGUGUAAGUCAGCAUGGCCACAGGAAAGUUCAGACUCCUUCCAUCUCCACUCCUGGGUACCUACUCUCUAUCUUGUAGCAUGAGUUCCUUUCUUCCCUUCCUCCCUCCUUUCCUUCCUUUCUCUUUUUCCUUUCUGUAUCAUUUAACAGUCUUUGUAUAGUUGGUUAUUAAGGAUUUAUCUCUUUUUUCAGGGAGCAGAUGGCUUGAGGCAGGUUUCUCUGUAUUGCCUGGUGUCUUGGAACUUGCUCUGUAAAUCAGGCUUACCUCAAACUCAGGGAUCUGCUUGCCUCGCCUCCUCAGUCCUGAGACUAAAGGUGUGUCAAUCCACACCUGGCUUAAUGGUAGGUUUCUUAAAGGAAGAUAAUUUGUAUUUUCAGAAUUAAACCAUACUAACUUAUAUUUUUAUUUUCUAUCCAUUUUUAAACAGUAUGAUGGGUAGUAACAUUGCUUUGGCUAUGUAUUCUUUAAAAUUGCACCUUUUUUGCUUUGGAAACACUUGCAUCUAGUAUUACCUAUUUCAAUGCAUAUUAAAGAUGAGGUGAAUCAUACGAUUUACACAAAACUACUAUGGAAAAUACAUUUUCUUUCUUUUAAAUAGCAUAGGGAUUUUUUAAAAUUCACAUUAAAUUGGUAAAAUAUAUAGAUUAUCUUUGUAUGUAUUAAACUUAUUAAAUGAGAUAUUAUAUAAUUGUAUAUUUUUUUUUCUCUGACUAAAACAUUAAACUAUUUGAAAGUAACUUAACAGCAGGAUGGAAAACUUGAGGCUCCACUGGACAUUCGGGUGCAGGGAGAGAUGUUUCUUCUACUUCCAACCGGUCCUAAGGAACAGCUCCUUACGGAAUGUAAGUGAUAACCAGGAAGCAGCUAUAAAAUCUGUGUGGUUAUAUAUUCCCUUUACAAUCAUGAUUUUUUUUCUGAAAUGGACCUAUGUAUAUAUUUACCAUACAAAUUAAAAGUAACUGAUAUCUACUU
rnacentral:lncRNA from 1 species